rnacentral:rRNA from 1 species
UACGGGGGGGGCAAGCGUUGUUCGGAAUUACUGGGCGUAAAGGGCUCGUAGGCGGCCAACUAAGUCGGAUGUGAAAUCCCCAAGCUUAACUUGGGAACUGCAUCCGAUACUGGAUGGCUUGAAUCCGGGAGAGGGAUGCAGAAUUCCCGGUGUAGCAGUGAAAUGCGUAGAGAUCGGGAGGAACAUCCGUGGCGAAGGCGACUACCUGGACCAGCACUGACACUGAGGCACGAAAGCGUGGGGAGCAAACAGG